GACGAACGCUGGCGGCGUGCUUAACACAUGCAAGUCGAACGGAAAGGCCCUGCUUUUGUGGGGUGCUCGAGUGGCGAACGGGUGAGUAACACGUGAGUAACCUGCCCUUGACUUUGGGAUAACUUCAGGAAACUGGGGCUAAUACCGGAUAGGAGCUCCUGCUGCAUGGUGGGGGUUGGAAAGUUUCGGCGGUUGGGGAUGGACUCGCGGCUUAUCAGCUUGUUGGUGGGGUAGUGGCUUACCAAGGCUUUGACGGGUAGCCGGCCUGAGAGGGUGACCGGCCACAUUGGGACUGAGAUACGGCCCAGACUCCUACGGGAGGCAGCAGUGGGAAUAUUGCACAAUGGGCGGAAGCCUGAUGCAGCAACACCGCGUGCGGGAUGACGGCCUUCGGGUUGUAAACCGCUUUCGCCUGUGACGAAGCGUGAGUGACGGUAAUGGGUAAAGAAGCACCGGCUAACUACGUG
rnacentral:rRNA from 1 species